rnacentral:rRNA from 1 species
UGGUCAAGUUAUUAGAACAGGAGGCGGAUGCCUUGGCACUAGAAGGCCAGUAGAAGGACGUGAUGAGCUGCGAUGGCUUCGAGGGAGUUGCACGUAAACUUUGAUCGAGAUUUUGAAUGAGGAAACUCACUUAGAGUAAUGUCUAAAAUCAUUAAAGUGAAUACAUAGCUUAAUAGGGGAACUCAGGGAACUGAAACAUCUAAGUACCUGAAGGAAGAGAGAAAUUCGAUUCCGUGGUAGCGAGCAGACGCGGAUUAGCUAACCAAUAAGUUUUCUUUAUUGGGGUUGCGAACAUAUCAUAACGAAGUAUCGUAAUUUGAAGAGUUUGGAAAGACCCACCACAGAAGGUAGUGCAACAUGUUAAACGAAGACUUCAGAUAUGAUCUAAGAGUACCACAGGACACGUGAAACCCUGUGGGGAAGCAGGAGAGGAAUGCCCUCAGGAGCUAAAUACUACCUAGUGACCGAUAGUAUAGUACCGUGAGGAAAGGUGAAAGAACGGGAGGAAGUGAAAUAGAACCCUGAAACCCUGCUUACAAGCUGUGGGCUUUAUUUCUUGUGUGACCGUACUUUUUGUAGAACGAGGUAAGCAAGUUACGUUAAGUAUGAGUUAAACACUUAGGUGCAGACCGUAGCGAAGUUUAACUAGGCGUUCAGUUAUGACGUAGACCCGAAACCCGGGCGACCUACCCAUGAGCAGGAUGAAGCGAAAAUGCAAAAUUUCGUGGAGAUUACGCCGAGCGUUGAAAAGCUCGGGGAUGACUAAUGGGUAGCAGUGAAGUCAAUCGGAACCCGGAGAUAGCUGGUUCUCCCAGAAAUAGCUUUGAGACAGCCUCAAGGUGAGAGAUACGAGGAGGUGAGCUGCUGAAUGUCCUGGGGGUGUGCACCUGCAGAGACUAUCAAACUCGAAUGCGUGUGUAUGGGGAAUGGACAUACGGGUGAUAAGAUUCAUAGUCGAAGAGACAGCAUGGAGAAUCGUCCUUCUGGGUCCCACUAAAUGUAAGUUAAGUGGUAAAGGUUGCUGGGAUUGCACAGACAGCCAGGAUGUUGGUAAGCCACUCAUUCAAAGGAGUUGUAGCUCACUGGUCAGUGAUCAAGACAGGGCUAAAACUUACUACUGAAGCUACGGCAUCAGUAAUGAUGGGUAGGGAGCUUCUAUACAGGUUCAGAGCAUGAUGUAAGGACAUGUGGACAGUAUGGGGUAGAAUGUUGGCAUGAGUAGUGAGAUGUGGGUGAGAAUCCCACAGGCCAUGAGCCAAGGUUUCCAGGGGAGGUUCGUCCGCCCUGGGUUGAGUCGGGGCCUGCUGAGGCCAGAAAGGCGUAGGUGAUGGACAACAGGUUGAUAUUCCUGUACUACCGAUAACCGUUUUGAAGAAGGGAUGACACAGUAGGAUAAGCUAAACACUACUAUUGGUUAUGUGUGCCCAAGCAUUAGGAGCAGUCAAAGUAAGAGCAAAUCCGCUUUGAUAAUGCUGGGAUGUGAUGGGAGCGAAAUUUAGUAGCAGAAGUGGCUGAUUUCACACUGGCCAAGAAAAGUCUCUAUCGAGGUUAAAGGUACCCAUUACCGCAAACCGACACAGGUGGAGUGAGGAGAGUAUCCUAAGGCCAGCAGAGAACUGUUGUUAAGGAACUCGGCAAAAUGACCCCGUAACCCAGGGAUAAAGGUGCCACCAUCGGGUGGCCGCAGAAUAGGCCAGCGACUGUUUAAACGGUUUCCUGCAAGACGAUGUAUGAGGCUGACGCCUGCCCGGUGCUGGAAGGUUAAGGAUCUGUUAGAGUAAUCGAAGGCGGUGAACUUAAGCCCCAGUGAAACGGCGGCCUGUAACUAUAACGGUCCUGGGUAGCGAAAUUCUUGUCGGGUAAGUUCAAACCCGCACGAAAGAGCGUAACGGUUUUGACUUUCAUCUCAACAACAACGAACUCCGGUGAAAUUGUAAUUCCACGUUGAAGAUGUGGACUGCCUGCGUCAGGACGGAAAAGAUUAUGGAGCUUUACUGUAACUGACAUUGGGUCUUGGUACUACAUGUACAGGAUAGGUGGAGGCUUUGAAACCAGGACGCCAGUUUGGAGCCAUCCUUAAGGAUACCACUGAGUACUGGGACUCUAACCAUGGGCCAUGAAUCUGAGAUGUACGGACACUGUCAGGUGGGCAGUUUGACUGGGGCAGUCCUUCUCCCAAAAGUAACUGGAGGCACUCCAAAGGUUCUCUCAGUACGGUCGGAAAUCGUACGUAGGUGUAGGCAAACGAUUGCAGACAUACAAUUCAAACAGGAUAAUCGGACUUAGUGAUCGGUGGUUCUGCAUUAGGUAUCGCUCAACGGAUAAAAGCUACCCUGGGGAUAACAGGCUUAUCUCCCCCAAGAGUCCACAUCGACGGGGAGGUUUGGCACCUCGAUGUCGGCUCAUCACAUCCUGGGGCUGUAGUAGGUCCCAAGGGUUGGGCUGUUCGCCCAUUAAGAGAGUACACCGGAUGGGGUUGGGAUGAGAUGGUGUACCUCUAGAUAGCCUGAAUUGUCCCUGCACCAAGGGCAUGGCUGGGUAGCUAUGUACGGAAUGGAUAAGCGCUGAAAGCAUCUAAGCGCGAAGCCAACUUCAAGAUAAGAUUUCCCACCGCAAGGGUAAGACCCCAGAAAGACUAUCUGGUUGAUAGGUCGAAGGUGUAAGUGCAGCAAUGUAUUUAGCUUAUCGAUACUAAUAGGUCGAGGACUUGACCAAU